GUGCUCCUACGGGAGGCAGCAGUGGGGAAUAUUGCACAAUGGGGGAAACCCUGAUGCAGCGACGCCGCGUGAGUGAAGAAGUAUUUCGGUAUGUUAAGCUCUAUCAGCAGGGAAGAAAAAAGACGGUACCUGACUAAGAAGCCCCGGCUAACUACGUGCCAGCAGCCGCGGUAAUACGUAGGGGGCAAGCGUUAUCCGGAUUUACUGGGUGUAAAGGGAGCGUAGACGGCGCGGCAAGUCUGGUGUGAAAGCCCGGGGCCCAACCCCGGGACUGCAUUGGAAACUGCCGGGCUGGAGUGCCGGAG
rnacentral:rRNA from 1 species